CACCGGGCAUCCAGAGCGAGAGAUUUACUACGCUUAGAGCCAGACGGCACCGCCACUGAUUUUAGGGCACCCCGUUGCCGGGGACGCCCAACACCAAGCAGAGCUUGAGGGUUG
rnacentral:rRNA from 1 species